rnacentral:rRNA from 1 species
UACGAAGGGGGCUAGCGUUGCUCGGAAUGACUGGGCGUAAAGGGCGCGUAGGCGGAUGGCACAGUCAGAUGUGAAAUUCCCCGGGCUUAACCUGGGGGCUGCAUUUGAUACGUGUUGUCUUGAGUUCGGAAGAGGGUCGUGGAAUUCCAGUGUAGAGGUGAAAUUCGAUAGAUAUUGGCGGAACACCAGUGGCGAAGGCGACUCACUGGCCGAUACUGACGCUGAGGCGCGAAGCGAUGGGAG